CAGCUGGAUAGAGCGUUAGCCUCCGGAGCUAAAGGUCAGAGGUUCGAAUCCUCUUGGGCGCA
rnacentral:tRNA from 1 species